UACAGAGGUGGCAAGCGUUGUUCGGAAUUACUGGGCGUAAAGGGCGCGUAGGCGGUUCGUUAAGUCCUGUGUGAAAUCCCCCGGCUCAACUGGGGAACUGCACAGGAAACUAGCGGGCUAGAGUGCGGAAGAGGCGAGUGGAAUUCCUGGUGUAGCGGUGAAAUGCGCAGAUAUCAGGAGGAACACCAAUUGCGAAGGCAGCUCGCUGGGACGUAACUGACGCUGAGACGCGAAAGCGUGGGGAGCAAACAGG
rnacentral:rRNA from 1 species